GACGAAGGGGGCUAGCGUUGUUCGGAAUUACUGGGCGUAAAGCGCGUGUAGGCGGUUGUCCAAGUUGGAUGUGAAAGCCUUGAGCUCAACUCAAGAAAUGCAUUCAGGACUGGAUGACUAGAGGACCGGAGAGGAUAGUGGAAUUCCCAGUGUAGUGGUGAAAUACGUAGAGAUUGGGAAGAACACCAGUGGCGAAGGCGGCUCUCUGGGACGGUACUGACGCUGAGACGCGAAAGCGUGGGGAGCGAACAGG
rnacentral:rRNA from 1 species